rnacentral:rRNA from 1 species
GGUAACCUGCCCAUAAGACUGGGAUAACUCCGGGAAACCGGGGCUAAUACCGGAUAACAUUUUGAACCGCAUGGUUCGAAAUUGAAAGGCGGCUUCGGCUGUCACUUAUGGAUGGACCCGCGUCGCAUUAGCUAGUUGGUGAGGUAACGGCUCACCAAGGCAACGAUGCGUAGCCGACCUGAGAGGGUGAUCGGCCACACUGGGACUGAGACACGGCCCAGACUCCUACGGGAGGCAGCAGUAGGGAAUCUUCCGCAAUGGACGAAAGUCUGACGGAGCAACGCCGCGUGAGUGAUGAAGGCUUUCGGGUCGUAAAACUCUGUUGUUAGGGAAGAACAAGUGCUAGUUGAAUAAGCUGGCACCUUGACGGUACCUAACCAGAAAGCCACGGCUAACUACGUGCCAGCACCCGCGGUAAUACGUAGGUGGCAGGCGUUAUCCGGAAUUAUUGGGCGUAAAGCGGGCGCAGGUGGUUUCAUAAGUCUGAUG